AAGAUUUGUGCUUGCUUGAUUGUUGUUUAUGAUGUGGUUUGAUUCAUUUUGUUGUGCAGAUAUUGGGAACAGUGAGCGAUCAAAAUCUACAAAUUUUCUGGACUCAGUGAUGGCAUCUACAAGCACAACGAAACGGGUUAAAAGAUUGUUGGAAGGAGGAUGUAAAUCUAAUCAAUUUGAUCAAGUUAAUUCAAAGAGAUGGAAAAGAGUAUGAAGCGAACUAUUGCAUGACACAACAAGGGUGAUGAUUCUUCAGAGACCGCUCUGGUAGAAUCAAGGGCAGAGAAAAAUUCCAAGACAUUUGAUAGAAGCAUCAUUAUUAGGUGCAGGAGUGUCUACAGUAGCAGCUCUUGCCAUGAUGUUUUUACUUUGGAAUG